GGCUCUUCCUGCGCUGGGCGCUCGACUGGCGGGGGCGGGUCUGAGUGGUACCCGGGACUAGACCCUUUGAAGGGCCCGUGUGGGGACCCGGAGGAGGACGGUUGGUUGUGUGUCCGUGCGCGUGGGAACUCUGUGUGUUUGCAUUGGAGGGAUGUUGGGGGGAUGAGGUGGGCUCUCUACGCCUUCUUUCUCGCUGCACCCAUUGCCUGGGGACCUUAGACCUGCUUCCCUGCUGGGGAAACUGCUACACGGAUCUAGGUCAAGUUAUUCUUCUGGGAAGCCUUCCUGCCGACUCCACUGACCUGAGAUUUCCUGAGGCCGUGGCGUGUUAUUUGAGCCUGUACUAGCAGAGGGUACCGCGGGGUAUUGAAGGAGUAGUAGGAGUUCGCCAGGGAACUGGGACAUGACCGCCUCCUGUAUACCCGGCUCCAGGCACAGAUGUGAAUAAUGAUGCAUGACGGAGCAAGACACAUGAAAGCAGGCACAUUAACAACCUUAGGGAAAAAAGAUGCUUUCCACAUUUUACAGAGAAGAAACCCAAAGCUGGGAGAAUUUAAGUAACUUGCCCAGGUAACAUAGCUAGGUAGUGCCGGGGGUGGGAUUUAAACUGAGAGCUGAGAUCAUUCCACUAUACCUCACUUGUACUGUGCCUGGCGUAGAAUCAGCUCGAUAAAUUGUGUCGAACUGUGUCCAAGUGCUACCUCUGGUGCUGUUCACAUGGGGAUGGACAAAGGGCACCCCCUGAGCCCCUUCCCCCCUCACAUCUCCACUGUUUUCCCUUUGUUGCGGCCCCUCCUGAACGGACAGCCCCUCUUCUUGGGAUGUCCCUCUCACGUUUCCUCUCACCCCCCUGCCAGGGUCUCCAUCUCUCCGCCCUGGGGCAUCUUCCUUCAGGGGAGGGGAGGAGGGGCUCCAGAAUGGCUGAGGAGAAGAAGCUGAAGCUGAGCAACACCGUGCUGCCCUCGGAGUCCAUGAAGGUGGUGGCCGAGUCCAUGGGCAUCGCUCAGAUUCAGGAGGAGACCUGCCAGCUGCUGACAGAUGAGGUCAGCUACCGCAUCAAGGAGAUUGCACAGGAUGCCUUGAAGUUUAUGCACAUGGGGAAGCGGCAGAAGCUCACCACCAGUGAUAUUGACUACGCACUGAAGCUAAAGAACGUCGAGCCACUGUAUGGCUUCCACGCUCAGGAGUUCAUUCCUUUCCGUUUCGCCUCUGGUGGCGGCCGGGAGCUUUACUUCUACGAGGAGAAGGAGGUUGAUCUGAGCGACAUCAUCAAUACCCCUCUGCCCCGAGUGCCCCUGGAUGUCUGCCUCAAAGCUCACUGGCUGAGCAUUGAAGGCUGCCAGCCAGCUAUUCCAGAGAACCCACCCCCAGCUCCCAAAGAGCAGCAGAAGGCUGAGGCCACAGAACCCCUGAAGUCAGCCAAGCCGGGCCAGGAGGAAGACGGCCCCUUGAAAGGCAAAGGUCAGGGGGCCACUCCAGCUGACGGCAAAGGGAAAGAGAAGAAGGCGCCACCCCUGCUGGAGGGGGCGCCUCUGCGACUGAAGCCCCGAAGCAUCCACGAGUUGUCUGUGGAGCAGCAGCUGUACUACAAGGAGAUCACAGAAGCCUGUGUGGGCUCAUGUGAGGCCAAGAGAGCGGAGGCUCUGCAGAGCAUCGCCACGGAUCCGGGGCUCUACCAGAUGCUGCCGCGCUUCAGCACCUUCAUCUCAGAGGGGGUGCGCGUGAACGUGGUGCAGAACAACCUGGCCCUGCUCAUCUACCUGAUGCGCAUGGUGAAGGCGCUGAUGGACAACCCUACUCUGUAUCUAGAGAAAUACGUGCAUGAGUUGAUCCCGGCUGUGAUGACCUGCAUCGUGAGCAGACAGCUGUGCCUGCGGCCAGAUGUGGACAAUCACUGGGCGCUCCGGGACUUCGCCGCCCGCCUGGUGGCCCAGAUCUGCAAGCAUUUCAGCACAACCACUAACAACAUCCAGUCCCGGAUCACCAAGACCUUCACCAAGAGCUGGGUGGAUGAGAAGACCCCGUGGACAACGCGCUACGGCUCCAUCGCAGGCCUGGCAGAGCUGGGACAUGAUGUGAUUAAGACUCUGAUUCUGCCGCGGCUACAGCAGGAGGGGGAGCGGAUCCGCGGGGUCCUGGAUGGCCCUGUGCUGAGCAACAUCGACCGCAUAGGGGCUGACCACGUGCAGAGCCUCCUCCUGAAACACUGUGCCCCUGUUCUGGCAAAGCUGCGCCCACCGCCUGACAAUCAGGAUGCCUAUCGGGCAGAAUUUGGGUCCCUCGGGCCCCUCCUCUGCUCCCACGUUGUCAAGGCCCGGGCCCAGGCUGCUCUGCAGGCUCAGCAGGUCAACAGGACCACUCUGACCAUCACUCAGCCCCGGCCCACGCUGACCCUCUCACAGGCCCCCCAGCCUGGCCCUCGGACCCCUGGCUUGCUGAAGGUCCCUGGCUCCAUUGCGCUGCCUGUCCAGACACUGGUGUCUGCUCGAGCUGCUGCCCCGCCUCAGCCUUCCCCUCCCCCAACCAAGUUCAUUGUCAUGUCAUCAUCCUCCAGCGCCUCAUCCACCCAACAGUGCUGUCCUGUUGUCCGGAGAAGCUGGUAAACCCACCCGUGGGCCCACGGUGCACACACGCUCACCUGACCACCCCCCGUGGCAGGGGAAGGUGCAGCCUGACGUUGAGAGCCUGGCUGCAAGGAAAAAAGGACCAGAGUCAGCCCCAGGAAGGUCGUGACGUGUCCCAUCUUCAUUACUGUCAUGACUGGAGUUCUGCACAAGUGCCACCCCACCCCCUUCCCAAACUCUAGUGCCUCUAAGCUGGAUUCUGAGGCUGGUUGGCCGCACCUGAAGGUGGAAACAGCAGGUGGAAUAUGCUAGGCCAGCCCGAUCCUGACCUCACCCUGAGGUGGCUGCAGGCGGAGGAUUCGAUGAGAUUCAAACUCAUCCAGAUGCACCGAGCUGUGAAAUGAGACCUC